rnacentral:rRNA from 1 species
AUGCACUCCAAAUGGUUGACACAUUUCCAUGAUGGAGCAUUUCAGUUGCCUAGCAUAAAAUCUAUGGAGAUGGAUAUAAAGGAAUGGGAUGAAUACAUGAAGAGGUACUCUCGUGAAUACUUCCAUGGAUCUUGCGCUGGAGCUCUCCACAUCUGGUACAAUGACCAGUUGUGCCAGGACAUGGGGUGUGAACCCGGGAGGAAGAAAGGGUUCUUGCAGAUUGGCUGA